GACAGUGAGGUGGCCAUAUUUACAGACGCCAUCCAAAAAGCAGUCAAAAAUACACAGGGAAAAGGGAAGUGUGGGGACUCCCAGUGGACAGCAGCAAGAGAGAGAUCAAAGAGGGCUUCAAAAUUGGAUGAAGAGGGGAUGGAGGUGGCAGUAUGUCGCCAUGGCUUUCUUUUGAAAGCCCUUAAUAUGUACAGGGGGGAGAUAUUUGCAUACCCCCUCUUCCUUCAGAAAGAACUGAUGCCAGCCAAGCCUCAGUUCUUUGCAAUGGAUGUGGCUUGCAAAUACUGGCCUUACUUUGUAAAAGCUGCCACUGUCCUUCCGGCCCUCCAGGAGCUGACAACCAUGAAGCCAUUCCUUAGUGUGAUGCAUGCAAUAGCUCAUGCAACAAAGUGUGAGAUCAAAUGGAGCGAUAGGAACCAGGAAGGAGCAGGGACAACUGCUGGUGAGGAGGUGGAGCAAGUGAAUAGCUACCUGUCUCGUUGUGCCCUGACGACAAAGUACAUGUCGAAAGCAGCAUGAGUGGACAUGCUUGCAUUGCAUGCUCUGGGGUGGAACCACAAAAAAAGGACCUUUUUACAUCAGGCCCUUUCUACAAGAUAUGUAAAGACCUGUCAAAGACUGCUAGAUGAGACUGUAAGGCUAGCUGAGCUGAAAGCAGAGCUACAGUGCACUGACGAAAUGGCAUCACAGUGGAUGUCUGAGGUGACUGAAUGGGCAGCUGACAAGACACCUCAUACCACUGAAGGCACCACACGGGAAGAAUGUCAACAGUCCAUUGUGGGACUCUUCCUGAGUGUCAGGCAGCGGAAGCAAAGUCUUUAUCGUCAAAAUGACAGCAGCAAGCUUCGCCACCGCCUUCGCAGGAAGCUGGGAGAGGACAAGAAGGUGCUUCUUCAGGAGAUGCAGACAUACAAUGCCUCUGCUCUAUCAGAGACUGAAAAAAUUGAUGUGGCUGUUGUGGAGCAUGCAUUGACUGGAGAGUGCACUGUGUCCCCUUUGUGGCCAUGGGAGGAUCAUGGCAUGGCAAACAUCACAAUCAAGAAGAGGGUGUAUGACCAAGUGAUGCUCACCAUGAGACUGCAAGAGGAGAAAAGCAUUUUGGUGUUGGAGAUGGUACAACAUUGCACAUGGUUGCAGAAGAAGGCAGAUGAACUUCGAAACAAGGUGGCUGAGAAUGGCAAGACCGACGAAGGACUUUGCUGUCUCUUUAAAAGACAACUUUCAGAGGUGUCAGAGCAGUUGCAAGUAGUCAUGCACCAGUACAAGACUGCUUUAGGCCCUGAGACCUCAGCCCUUCAAAUGGAGGAGGAAGAGGAGGAUCAAAGGGCCCUCAGCAGUCCAGACAGCAGUGAAGAUGAAGACAUCGCCGAUUAGAUGACGGACUGCAGUGAAGGGCAUGGACUUGGCAUGUUUUGUUUGAUGUAGGACAGUAGUAGCUCAGGGGGUAGAGUUUUUUUUCAGCAUACAGAAAGUUGGCAAUUCAAUCCCGCCCUAUCCUAGUUCUGUCCACGAUGUCCCACAACACUGAACCCACAUUGUUCCCAGUGAGUCUUCCGUAGUUAUGAUGAUGAAUGAUCAAGUUUGCUCAUGGAUGCCUUUGAGUUCCACUUGGGAGUGAAGAAUGGUGUCCAAGCUCCUGCUGUGCUCCAGGUCCCCUAGCCAGGGGAUUAACUUACCUCUAUAGUCUCUACAGUGUUCAGAAAUAAACUCAUCAAUGGAGGGCUUGCAUUGUUUGUGUUUACUUUGAGACUUGUUGGAUAUCAAGUGUCUCUUAAAAUGUGCACUGUUUAGGAAUGGGGCCUUAACCUAUGGCUUGUACAAUAAAUAUGCAUCAGCAAUAAA